UCCGGACUCGUCUAAUGGCAGGACAGCGGCCUUUGAAGCCGUGAAUCUACGUUCGAAUCGUAGGUCCGGAGCCA
rnacentral:tRNA from 1 species